CCUACGGGUGGCAGCAGUGGGGAAUAUUGGACAAUGGGCGAAAGCCUGAUCCAGCAAUGCCGCGUGAGUGAUGAAGGCCUUCGGGUUGUAAAGCUCUGUCGGGGGGGACGAAAAAGCCGGUUAACGCCCGGCCUUGACGGUACCUCCAAAGGAAGCACCGGCUAACUCUGUGCCAGCAGCCGCGGUAAUACAGAGGGUGCAAGCGUUGUUCGGAAUUACUGGGCGUAAAGCGCGUGUAGGCGGCGUCGUAAGUCGGGUGUGAAAUCCCUCGGCUCAACCGAGGAAGUGCAUUCGAUACUGCGAUGCUUGAGUACCGGAGGGGAUGGCGGAAUUCCCGGUGUAGAGGUGAAAUUCGUAGAUAUCGGGAGGAACACCUGUGGCGAAGGCGGCCAUCUGGACGGUGACUGACGCUGAGACGCGAAAGCGUGGGUAGCAAACAGGAUUAGAUACCCCGGUAGUC
rnacentral:rRNA from 1 species